AUUGAACGCUGGCGGUAUGCUUAAGACAUGCAAGUCGAACGGUAACAGGUUAAGCUGACGAGUGGCGGACGAGUGAGUAACGCGUGGGAAUCUACCUUGUAGUGGGGGAUAAGCCAGGGAAACUUGGACUAAUACCGCAUACGCCCUAAGGGGGAAAGGCGCAAGUCGCUAUAAGAUGAGCCCGCGUCUGAUUAGGUAGUUGGUGGGGUAAAGGCCUACCAAGCCGACGAUCAGUAGCUGGUCUGAGAGGAUGAUCAGCCACGUCGGGACUGAGACACGGCCCGGACUCCUACGGGAGGCAGCAGUCGGGAAUAUUGGACAAUGGGGGAAACCCUGAUCCAGCAAUACCGCGUGUGUGAAGAAGGCCUGCGGGUUGUAAAGCUCUUUUGUCCGGAAAGAAAAGCAAUCGGUUAAUACCCGGUUGUUCUGACGGUACCGGAAGAAUAAGCACCGGCUAACUUCGUG
rnacentral:rRNA from 1 species